rnacentral:tRNA from 1 species
CCUUCGAUAGCUCAGUUGGUAGAGCAGAGGACUGUAGAUCCUUAGGUCGCUGGUUUGACUCCGGCUCAAAGGA